rnacentral:miRNA from 1 species
CACACUGAGGGGCCUGAGGGGUAGGAAGCUGGGGGUGGGGUGGGGUGGGAAGAGUCUAUCUGAAACCAGCGACUACUCCUUGCCUCUCAG